rnacentral:rRNA from 1 species
UAGGGAAUCUUCCACAAUGGACGCAAGUCUGAUGAAGCAACGCCGCGUGAGUGAAGAAGGUUUUCGGAUCGUAAAGCUCUGUUGUUGGUGAAGAAGGAUAGAGGCAGUAACUGGUCUUUAUUUGACGGUAAUCAACCAGAAGGUCACGGCUAACUACGUGCCAGCAGCCGCGGUAAUACGUAGGUGGCAAGCGUUGUCCGGAUUUAUUGGGCGUAAAGCGAGCGCAGGCGGAAUGAUAAGUCUGAUGUGAAAGCCCACGGCUCAACCGUGGAACUGCAUCGGAAACUGUCAUUCUUGAGUGCAGAAGAGGAGAGUGGAAUUCCAUGUGUAGCGGUGGAAUGCGUAGAUAUAUGGAAGAACACCAGUGGCGAAGGCGGCUCUCUGGUCUGCAACUGACGCUGAGGCUCGAAAGCAUGGGUAGCGAACAGG